CCUACGGGAGGCAGCAGUGGGGAAUAUUGCACAAUGGGGGAAACCCUGAUGCAGCGACGCCGCGUGAGUGAAGAAGUAUUUCGGUAUGUAAAGCUCUAUCAGCAGGGAAGAAGAAAGACGGUACCUGACUAAGAAGACCCGGCUCACUACGUGACAGCAGCCGCGGUAAUACGGAGGGGGCAAGCGUUAUCCGGAUUUACUGGGUGGAAAGGGAGCGUAGACGGCUGUGCAAGUCUGAAGUGAAAGCCCAGGGCUCAACCCUGGGACUGCUUUGGAAACUGUGGAGCUAGAGUGCUGGAGAGGUAAGUGGAAUUCCUAGUGUAGCGGUGAAAUGCGUAGAUAUUAGGAGGAACACCAGUGGCGAAGGCGGCUUACUGGACAGUAACUGACGUUGAGGCUCGAAAGCGUGGGGAGCAAACAGGAUUAGAUACCCCAGUAGUC
rnacentral:rRNA from 1 species